rnacentral:rRNA from 1 species
AUUGAACGCUGGCGGCAGGCCUAACACAUGCAAGUCGAACGAGUGGCGGACGGGUGAGUAAUGUCUGGGAAACUGCCUGAUGUAGGGGGAUAACUACUGGAAACGGUAGCUAAUACCGCAUACCAUCAGAUGUGCCCAGAUGGGAUUAGCUAGUUGGUGUGGUAACGGCUCACCAAGGCGACGAUGCCUAGCUGGUCUGAGAGGAUGACCAGCCACACUGGAACUGAGACACGGUCCAGACUCCUACGGGAGGCAGCAGUGGGGAAUAGUGGACAAUGGGCGCAAGCCUGAUGGAGCCAUGCCGCGUGUAUGAAGAAGGCCUUCGGGUUGUAAAGUACUGUCAGCGGGGAGGCGUUACCCGCAGAGGAAGCACCGGCUAACUCCGUGCCAGCAGCCGCGGUAAUUC